CGGACAGAGCUGGCGUAUCUGGCCUGUAUUCAGCCGUGUGCCCGCUGGCGUCAGGGAUGCCGCUCUCCAGAUUGGGACGGUGGCCUGUCUGCUGACGGGUGCGUGGUGCAUUUGCAGGUGGAGUGCGCUGAGGCGCUCGGGACAGCGGUAUGAGCUCAGUGUUGAGGCCAGCCCCUCACGGGGUCUGGUACCCGCAUUGUGGGGAGUGCUGUUUGUCCUGGGUGUGAUGUGAUGUGGGCAAUGGUUUCGGGUUCGCGUGGGUGCCGAGCUGGCAGUCGGUGGCGGUCGCGUGCGACACGUGCCAGCGGUCAGUUCGGUCCUGCUCGAGCUCUCAUCUGCUCGUCCUCGGUGUAAAAGCCGGUCAUCUGUCCGACCCGUCUUGAAACACGGACCAAGGAGUUUAGCGUGUGCGCGAGUCAUUGGGCGUUGAAAACCCAAAGGCGCAAUGAAAGUGAAGGUCUCCCUUNCGGAGCUGAUGUGUGAUCCUGGGCACUGCGGUGCACACCGGGCGCAACAUAGUCCCGUCCCGAUCGCUUGCGAUGGGGCGGAGACAGAGCGUACGCGCUGAG
rnacentral:rRNA from 1 species